GUGUUGGUGGCCUGGUAUGACUUUUUUAUUAGAAGUAGGCAAGGAGGUCUGUGACCAUACAACACCGAAUACAGCCUAACUGAUGUGCCAUGUCUAGUCUUUUGAAAGGAUCGGUUCACUGCAGGGCUGGAGAAGGGAGGGGUGGGCAGUGCCUCCUAUGGCUAGGGCGUGAGGGACUGCCCUAAGCUGCUACAGAAUCCUGGGCCGUUCCCAAGCCAAGUUCCUAAAAGCUGAGGCUUGGACUUGCUCCCGGGAAGGGCUGCGGAUGCUCACCGUGGUGUGUUUCUGAGCAGGCUGUAGUGUGGAGUCGGCUCUGGAAGCUGCAUCCCUCCACCCCGCCCAGCUGCUGGGGCUGGAGAAGACCAAGGGGAGUCUGGACUUUGGUGCUGAUGCAGACUUUGUGGUGCUCGACGACACUCUCCAUGUCCAGGCCACUUACAUCUCUGGUGAACUGGUGUGGCAGGCAGAGGAAGCUGGGCUGUGACUGAGGGUCUUGGCUGGAAAGGACAUUUGGCUCCAGCUGGACAGUGACAGGCCGGGCAGUCCAUGGAGCUGGUCUCCAAGGAGGAAGCUGAGAGCCCUGCUCCAUGUCUAACCUCAGUCAUCACUUCUGGAGGGGAGGCAGUGGCCUGGAUAAAUACAGACAGCGGGACUUGC
rnacentral:lncRNA from 1 species